ACUCUGGUUUCUCUUCAGAUCGUAUAAAUCUUUCGCCUUUUACUAAAGAUUUCCGUGGAGAGGAACAAUUCUGAGUCUUAACCCAAUUUUUUGAGGUCCUGCUCGUGCAGGGCUAAUAAUUCUGGUUUAAGAUUAGAACUUAUGUUCCUGAAAUAGGAAAACUUCUGAGUAGUUACUUAUUUCAGUUUGUCUGCCUAUCUUCUGAGUAAUUAGUACUAUUAGUAUUUAGUUCAAUUGAAGCCUGUUCUUGGGCUUUCUUUCACAUCUCUAGCAGUACCUCCCCAGAAAAAGGAUUACUAAUUUAGUCAGACAGUCAUGUUUAUGUUUAUACAGAUCAGUAAGUGCUCUUAUUUUGUAGCAUUUUUUUUCAUGACUAAAGUCUCAUUAUGCAGGCCAGGCUGGCCUGCCUCUGUGCUGCAUUUAAAUUAGUGUACCAGUAUGAGCAUACUUUCUACUAAGUUACUAGUUCUAGGUUCCUCAGGAUGGGGGUGGGUGGUAACGUGUCUGUAACUCCAGCACUGUGGUCAUGGACAUGCAGGUGGAUUCCUGUAUCCAUACUAACUGACACUGCUUGGGUGACAAAGAGCCAGAGACUAGGUAGCUCAGAGAGCUAGGGAGAAACAACACAGCAGGAGCUGCAGAAAUGGCUAAGCAAUAAAAACCUGUUGCUCUUGCAAAUCUGUUGCUCUUGCAAGUUUUUUGUUUGUUUUUGUUUUGUUUCGAGACAGGGUUUCUCUAUAUAGCUCUGGCUGUCCUGGAACUCACUUUGUAGACCAGGCUGGCCUCGAACUCAGAAAUCCGCCUGCUUCUGUCUCCCUGGGAUUAAAAGCGUUCGCCACCACGCCUGGCUCAGCUCUUGCAAGUUUGAUUCCAGUUACCUGUAACUCUAGCAUCCUUCCCUCUGGCCUCCCUGCAUGGACAUAUUUAAAAAUAAUGAGAAUAAAUUAU
rnacentral:lncRNA from 1 species